rnacentral:rRNA from 1 species
UACAGAGGGUGCGAGCGUUAAUCGGACUUACUGGGCGUAAAGGGCGCGUAGGUGGAUUUUUAAGUCAGAUGUGAAAUCCCAGGGCUCAACCUUGGAAUGGCAUUUGAUACUGGGGAUCUAGAGUAUGGCAGAGGGAAGGGGAAUUUCCGGUGUAGCGGUGAAAUGCGUAGAUAUCGGAAAGGACAUCAGUGGCGAAGGCGCCUUCCUGGGCUGAUACUGACACUGAGGCGCGAAAGCGUGGGUAGCGAACAGGAUUAGAUACCCGUGUAGU